UCCCGGUUCGUCUAAUGGUAGGACAGCAGCCUCUGAAGUUGCUUAUCGUGGUUCGAGUCCAUGACCGGGAGCCA
rnacentral:tRNA from 1 species